UUUUUGUUUUUUGUUUUGUUUUGGUUUUUGUUUUUUUUUUUGAGACAGUCUCGUUCUGUCAUCAGGCUGGAGUGCAGUGGUGUGAUCUCAGCUCACUGCAACCUCUGGCUCCCUGGUUCAAGCGAUUAUCCUGCCUCAGCCUCCCGAGUAGAGCUGGGACUGCAGGUGUGCGCCACCACGCCCAGCUAAUUUUUGUAUUUUUAGUAGAGACGAGGUUUCACCAUGUUGGCCAGGAUGAUCUCCCACCACGCCCAGCUAAUUUUUGUAUUUUUAGUAGAGACAAGGUUUCACCAUGUUGGCCAGGAUGAUCUCCAUCUCCUGACCUCGUGAUCCGCCCACUUCGGCCUCCCAAAGUGCUGGGAUUACAGGUGUGAGCUACUGUGCCUGGCCUAGAACUCAUCAUUUUUAGACCCAUGUUCCUCCUCCACUGUGACAGCCCAAAAAGCAGGUUCCGUUUUGUUCAUCUUUCUAUGCCUGCACCUAUUUCAGUGCUUACUAUAUGGCACAGAAUUUGUUAAGCAAAUUCAUACAGUUGAAAACUUUCUGUAUGAUUUCUACAGUUUUAAAGAAGCCUAAGAUCUUCUGAUUAAGUGAAACUUGCAUGUUUAUCUGGUUCCAAUUUAUUUCUCCGAGUAAGGACUCUGAUAUUGUAUUCCUUAAAAAUGAAUGUUGAGUUUCUGCUAGGACGCAGGGUCAGGGCGAGUUAUCUGCUGCACAGCCUGACCCACGGGUGGUGUUUUAUGUUGAGGCAGUGUCAGCCUAUUCCUUCCACCACACAUCGACAGUUCUAUAAUCAAAAUACCCAUACCAGACCUCCAAAUAUUUCACAACGGUUCACCUAAUUUUGUGAAGUCUGUCUUAAACCCUCCCUUUAGACCCAGUAACCCUGUCCUGGGAACAUUCGGUCCAUCAAUGCCACUCUUAUGAAUGGAAGAGCAGGACAUAAGGAGAUUGAUGUACGGAGUCAAGUGGGUCUCAUGCUUGUGACCUGAAUACUGUUCUUCCGUGGACAAAUCUGGGCACAUAAAAAAGCAAGAUGGAGUCCCCUUGUCCUCCUGCCCUUUAAAACUUGAAACUGUUGGCAAUGAAGUUAAGAAUUUACUCUUGGCAGAUGGAAAAACCCACCCAAGGACUUGGAAUGGGAAUCUCCACAUCUUCGUCAGUUGAAAAAUGAAAACAGGAGAGAGCAUUUGCUACGGUUUGAAUGUCUGUGUUCCCACCGAAUUUCUUACGUUGAAACCUGACACCCGAUGGGUUGGUAUAAACAGGUGGGGUCUUCGGGAGGUGAUCAGGGUCAUGAGGGCAGAGUUCUCAGGAGUAGGAUCAGGGCCCUCAUCAAUGAGGCCCGAGGGGGCUUGUUCGCCUUUCUCCACAUGAGGACACAGCAAGAAGGUUCCAUCUAUGAAGCGAAAAGCUCUGCCCAGACACGGAACCUGCUGCCACCACAUUGAUCAUGAACGUCCCUGCCUCCAGAACUGUGAGCAAAAAAUAUGCCCAGUCUUAGGUAUUUUGUGAUAGCAGCCUGAAAGGACCGAGACAGCAUUCUCGUUGCAAUUGUUUCACUACAUUUUUCCCACCCAUAAGGAAAUCAGAGAGGGAUGUGUGACCGUCAACCUGCGCCAGAUCCCUAAGGAAGUUCCCCUUCCUCAAAGCCAUCAUAAGCCCCCGUGCCUCGGCGGACAGUGAGGAAAUCACACAUCCCAAGAACUUGUCACACUGGUAAAGACCAGGGCAUCUCACGUUCUCUUUCUGUAAUUUUACAAUAGUAUCCUUUUAAAAGGUUAAGAUUGAGAACAUUAGUAACACACAUUAGAAACGCACCACCGUUUUCAAACAGCUAAGGAAGGGAAAGUAAAGGUGCUGGGAUGAAUGUAUUAAGGUUUUAGAUUGUUGGGGGUGGGGGGGCGUCACGAUCCCCAGCUUCUGCGCCUAGCAUGACAUGGACGAAUUGCAGACACGGAGACCGCGCACCACUGCCUUCCCCCAUUUCCCACCCAGCGAGACCUCCAGAGCAGCCGGUGUAGACGUUGCGCCCUCACUGCUGGGUGAACAGGAGGCGGAUAAAGGACGUAAAACUGCCUUCCGUGGGGAAGCAGCUUGGUUACUUGUGGAACCAAAGGGUCUGGGAUGCAGCUAUAGCAAACACCAGUAAGCUCCUGUGCUACCGGGGGGACUGACCAUGUCCCGUGACACAGGGAGAUGUAGGCCAGGGUUUUGUUUUGUCCUAACACAAGUGUUCUUAGCCCUUCGCUUCAAUGUCAGCUACCUAUUAAGGACUUUGGUGUUGCCACUUCGUUUCAGAUGCACGCCCUUCUCAGAAGAACCAGCCAUCCAAGAGGAAGGAGGUUCUAAACAGUGAGGCAUAAACCUCGGCUGAGUUAGACAAGCUCCGCACUUGACGCAAAGGCCUUUCGGAUCAUCAAAGGCCUUCCGAGGCAGCAUUUUCACCGCAGAGUGGCGCAGAGGGCUAGAGGCUCGGGUGGGGGGAGGGACGCCCACUGCUGUUCAAAGUUCCAUUUCCUGCCCAGCCCAUCUGGGAAGCCACAUUCAGGAACUUAUCUAGUCCGUCCUUUCUUCAGCCAGUAGAGACACAGUUAUAUCUUUUAAUUUAAAAACACAUUUUAUCUUUUUAAAUUAGAAUCUUUAUUGCAUCUGAUGGUCCUGUCUCAUUUUCGCUGUCUCAUCAGUAAACCAUUGCAAAUCACAGCGCCAGCCCCUCUGUGUCCCCACGUUUGACACAGUAAUUUCCUCCAGGUGUGGCUGAGUCAGAAUUCCUUCUGCGUCCAUCCCUAUACGUCCAGUAUGGGUGACAGUGCAAGGGUAAGAACAGUGAGUGUAUUCAGUGGGGAAAUAAGAGGUGCUGCGAAAAAAACUGAGAAAAACACAGCAUCUUCCAUUACAAACAGUGAAUGUCCCGGAGUCCACAAGAGUUGAAAAAAAAAAAAACUCGGGCCAUCUGGGCAUCUUUUCAGAUGAACGAUCUUGUGAAUCAUCCUAAAAUUCUUCUAUAAAUAAAGAGCAUUAACACUUUGGUUUAUGUUCAGCCAACAAAAAUAAAUAACCACAGAUCAAAGCGGGCUGUCAAACGAUGUAAGCCACCCUCUGAAAUUGGGGAAAAAUGUCUUACAAAUCUCAGAACUCCAAGAUGUUUUUAUUUAUUUCAAAUUCCAAUAGAAUGAAUAUGUUUUAUCUAAAUAUUUUUAUCACACAACUAAAACAUUGAAUUACUUUUUCAGAAAUAGAGUUAAAUACAUCAAUCUAGUUACAAAUUCUAAUAUAAAGAGUACAAAAUAUAAUGUUAUAAAUUGUAUUUUAAAAAAGGAAAUACAAAUUCUAUGGCCUUUUGCAUUUUACUGCCUCAAAGUAGAAUUAGCAAAGCUGAUGAAGAAUGAACAUUUUCCCUUGGGCGGGUGGCCCCUGGAUCACUUCCCACAGGCAUGUUACCGGGCCCCAGAGCGGGCUCCCACCAACCACCAACCACGGCAAACACAGGCGUCCUCCUCACUUGAAGUCCUGGCCUGUGGUGGUUGCAUCUUUUUUUGCUCAGUGAACAAAACGUUCUGAAAUUAGAACUCACCCAAGUUAAAAGCAGUAAAACAACAUAUGCUACUUAAGACGUUCUGAAGUGGAAAGUAAAGCUAUAUGAAUGCCGUCCUUCCUUCCUUCCCUUUUCUACAGCUUGGAAACCUCUGAGAAUGUGCUGGGGGUGGCAGAGGAGGGUUUGUCUAGUUUGAAGGAAGGAAUGUUGGCAGACAGUCUCCAGCCACGAAAGCCCAGGAGGUGCCCUCUUCCACACAGCGGACUAAGCACUGCACCCACUUUCUUUGAUCCAGAAGGCAUCACUACUGACCCCGUAAGCCACACCCUGUCUCUCUGUCCAAAGAACAGAGGCCCACCAGAGAGGCCCCCUGGAGAGGCCCCC
ensembl:lncRNA